rnacentral:rRNA from 1 species
UACAGAGGUCCCAAGCGUUGUUCGGAUUCACUGGGCGUAAAGGGUGCGUAGGUGGCGAGGUAAGUCGGAUGUGAAAGCUCGGAGCUCAACUCCGAAAUGGCAUUGGAAACUACCUUGCUCGAGGGUUGGAGGGGGGACUGGAAUGCUUGGUGUAGCAGUGAAAUGCGUAGAUAUCGUGAGGAACACCAGAGGCGAAGGCGGCUACCUGGACAAUUGCUGACGCUCAGGCACGAAAGCGUGGGGAGCAAAAGGG